UAAAAGAAAUAGGCGCCGCACCUCACCCUCACCUCUUCUAUUCCCCCAAGUCGCGCCCCCAAAUCAGGCAGCCUUCCACCCCCGAUCCCAUCGGCCGCCGACCACCCUUCACCGCUCCCGACCUCAACGGCAGUCGAUAACCCUCCGCCAUCCCCGACCCUAGCCUCACCCUCCACCGUCCCCAAACCCCUACCGCACCCGGCUUCCUUCCCGACCACCGUGGCCGGCUAGGGUUUGAUGCCGUCGGUCCUCCUGGUCGUUCUCCGGUUGGUGGCUAGAGGAAACGGCUUCCACCCUCCUUCUAAAGCAUGUGAGCACGGAUCUGGCUCCUCCCACCGUUCAUUCCUCUCUCCUGCUUGGAGCCGCCUGUGACCACGGAUCUGGCUCUCCUCCACCAGCGGCGACUGGGAUGGCGCGGAUCCACCUCUUCUCCACAAGCCCCAGCCGAGACGACGUGGAUUCGCAUCUCCUCCUCCCUCCCCGCUAUGGCCGCCUUUAUCCGUUGCACCCCCGCCUUGCAGCUCCGCUUCUGGACGGAGAUUUGGAGGAGUACCCGCCACUCACAGUGGCUUCAAGCCUUCUUCCCAACUGGCCCCAGAGGCACAACAUUAAGGGUGCAAGCUCGACUGAUUCAACGGUCUGCCUUGGCGUGAUGGCUCCCCGUCAACAACUAGGUUGACCAUGGCCUAUGCUAGCUUCAGUUUUCCCCCCUGUUCCAGUCUGCUGGAAGUUCUCUGCUGCCUCCCCAAGACGCUGGUAGGUCACCUCCAUCGAUGCUCUCUCCGCCGCUUCCACAAGCCGCCAGACUGUACAAUUCUGCAAGCUCGGCAUUAUAACUUAGGUCUUGAAAGGUUUGACAAGAUCUUGAAGGUGUUGGAGGUUGGGCAAGAUCCGCAAGGCGUCCAUACUAGUUUUUUCUGCUAAUUUUGUUUUCAGGUACAUGCUUAUCUACGUGACACCUAACGUGUCAAUCCUAAUGUGCCACGCAUUCUCGUUUCAGGAAAAAGAAUGGAAAAGGAAGAGAAGAAGACAAUGCUGAAGCACAAGAGCAAGAGAGGCUAGCUAUACUUAAAGCAAGGAACAGUGAGGAUUUUGAAUGAUUUGGGUCCUUCACAUUUUCAAAUCUAAAAGAAGAUUUUGGAGGCCGAGCCAGUCAGCGACAAAAUAAAAGGAAGAAGGUUUCUCAAAGAUUGACAAGUUGAUGGAGGUUUGGAAGAACUACAGGCUGACGAAGAUUAUGAACGCCUACAGUUAAGUCGGUGUAGUGAUAAUGUAAUAUGCCUUGUUUGUUGAACCCGGAUACUUGCUCUGCUCAAUUUGUUGGUUGUUAAGUCAAUGUAUGCUCAUGUUGGUUGUGUGGUGCAUUAAGAAAUAAAUGUGUUUCUCCUUUUUUGGCACAACUUCAGCUUGGUUGUGUGGUACACCUAAAAACAAAUGUAUGCACUUCUUUUGUGGCACAACGUCUUUGUAUAUGAUUGCUAUGAUUAUUGAAUGAAGUUCAAGAUUUUUUA